rnacentral:misc_RNA from 1 species
UUUGUGUCCAGAUUUAGCAAAGGUGAAAGUCCUAACGUCCUGGUUUACCAGUGAAAAAAAAUCCAACGACCACUUACACAAAUCCACCAACCACUUACACGAGCCCACGACGUCUACCGGUGCCUCCUAAACAUCGAAGACAUCAAAUCCAACAGCCAUACUAUUUCCUCGUCUCCUCGUGAACAUAUUAAACCCAUCCCAUUGGCAAUCCAUCCUUAAACGCCAAAGUUUGCAAGUAUCACUAGACUCUAUAAAAAUUCAAUGUUCAAUUCCAAGAAGGAUAUUCUCCCCUGAGUACUUCCCCUCGUGCCGGGCCAUAAGCUCUUUAAAAAGAAACUUUCAAGGUCUAGCAACCCGCGAAUCUGCAAAGAGCCAACUAGUCAAGAAGUUCUUUGGAAGUCUAACAGUUCGGAAACUUGAGAAGUCCCCACGAGCGGAUGUGAAGAUUUCGGAAUUAAACGGAACGAUUGGCGACGCCGGUCUCGGGGGUGGCUUUUUCCCUAUCCGCACCCUUUCCUUGUUUCGGCACCUGCCUCGUUGGGCAUUUCGACUCAGACCUCGAAGAGGACCAGAAGACCUUGAAGAGGACCGGCCGAAAUGGAGGUGAUGUACCAGGCGAAUCUCGACGGAUUGCUGCAAGUACUCCAGCACCAAGCGAAUUACGGUACCAUGCAGGAGGGUGGGGGUCGUACUUCCUUGAGCAUGGUCAGCCAGCCGGGGGGUCGGCUCGUCACGAGGACGAGUGCCGGUACCAUUUCGAGCCAUUCGAGCCGCGAAAGAGAAUCGUACGUCCCGGGAGUGCGCGUCGACUUCGCGGUUACCGCCAUUCCGGCCCUCGGCGGUUACAUCCUCAAGUCCUACAUCAGAGUGAUCCGCCGCUGUGCUACGUGCAUGAUGGGGAUGAUGGGGGUUUUCAAGUGGCUCAGAAAGGAUACCUUGAAGAGGGAGCGGAACCGGUGGAGCUCGUCACUUGAGAGUCCCGGCCUUAAUAACGAAGCGUACAGAAAUGCGCUGCAGGCGUUCAUAGAACGACGACGUACUCCCAGCGGGUCGUCACUGAGCCCCGAGAAGCAGAAGAUAGACAUUUUCCUGAAAAACAUCAAAAACAAUCGUCGGGACUGUUACACCAUUCCGGGCGUUCCGCACGUACAAGCUCCGGAUGUCUUCGAGAUCGGUUGGGUCCCAGGCACAGAAGAUCGCUACCUCGAGCUUAUCUUCGCCGAGUGGCAGAAUACCCGAGUCUCUCUGAAGAGGCACACGCACCCGGAAUGCCAAGACGCCGUCAAAGCGGACCUCGAAGUCCUCACAGAGAUUCGUCAUCCAAACGUCUUGCUACUGAUGGCCACGACCCAGACGGAUGACCACGGACUCGUCGCCAUCUUCGAGUCUGUGGAUUGUACAUUGUACAAUUACAUGCACGAACAAGGGGAGCGGAUUUCUAUCCAAGGAGCUGCUAAAUGUGCUGGAAGACUUGCGGAUGCUCUAAGACACGCGCACAUGCGUGGUUAUAUCCACGGUGCGUUGAGCUCGCAUUGCGUAUAUCUGGCUUCCGGGAACGUCAAGCUUGGCGGCUGGGAACUUGCUAUCAACGAGGAUAACACGAGACCUGACCGCAUGUUUGAAGAACGUUUAAGAGCUGAAAUCUUCAAAUGGAAACCUCCUGACAUGUUCUCGGGACAGCCGCCAUCCAAAGCUAGUGACGUUUACGGAUUAGCUCUGCUGAUCUGGGAAAUGUGCACUGGUAAUAUACCCUGGAACAAUCUAACCGAGCCAGAAGUGGAAAGACAGUACGUCCAUUGGGAACGUGGUGUCAUUAUUGACUUGUAUAAUUUUCCACCAUUGCUCAAUAAUUUAUUGGAGGCAGGACUUCAGAUAGACGUGACGAAACGAACUUUAGAUAUGAACAGAAUGCGUAGAUUUCUACAAAGACUAGAGAUACAGUACGAAGACGAAGAACCGAUCUACAUCGAUGAUUUUACAAACAGUAAAAUUCACCAGGGGAAAAUAAUUAGUGCGCCCGUAUCGACUUCGCCGGUCACCAACGCUACUACUGUUCCAAAAUAUACGACUGCCGAAACUCCAAAAAGUUCAAAACCGAAAAGGCUUUUCGAUUCAGAUAAAAUCUACUAUAAUCGAACUGUACGAUCAGCCUCAAAGAAAGAUGUAUACGCGGAACGCGUUAACGUCUUCGAUGAUAAUAAGAAUCAAAAACAGAAACCCGCGGAUCAAGGUGGAAAAAAUACUAAUAUGUUCCUGGAAACGCAAAAAAACAAUAACGAGACACAUAUUCCUAAAUGUACAAUUGUCGAUCCAUUGAGGGAAGAAAAUGUGUAUACAAGAGUCAGCAGACAGUCGAGAUUUAUGGAUAAAUUAGGCAAAGCAGAAACCAAAGUGGAUGAACCGAAGCCUGUCGUUACUUCAGAAAAUAGUGCUUCAUGCUCAACGCAUACGGAAGACUCAACGGACGAUGAGUCGACUGACGAUGCCUACACGAAUUUGAAAAAAUUAAAAGAAGUUAUAGCUAGCAGAAGAGAAAACUUUUUUUACGGAAGCGACACUUCACAUGCCUCUGUUCCUGACAUAAGUCCGAAAACAAAAAGUAGAAUACUGACAAAAGCCAAAGGUCAAGAUUAUAAGCCACACAAACCAGCAAGCCAUUUUACUAGCUUGGAACCCAAAUUGAACAAAUCACCGCUCCAGUAUGAUCCAACGCUAAUUAAACCAGCAAGUCAUCAAAAUCAAAGAUCUCCAUACUCUAACGUACCAGCAAACAUCAGAGAUGCUGUUCUGCAACCUCAAGUCCUAAAUCCUGAUUCCCAAAGUUUCUUCGAGUCAUCAUUAUGGAGGAAAGAAAAAUCGAUAUGUUUAUCGAAAAUGGGAAAUGUAAAUCAUAAUCAACAUUUGACUAGUGACAAGGAAAAACCUGAAGGUCAAUUCGAAUCGCCAAAGAGUGACAAUACGUAUACCAUUCGAGGUGAAAAUGAAGGUAAUCGUACCAAAAUCAUCAUCAGGGGUUCGAGCCUUGAGAAACUAAAUCAUGAUUCUGAGGGUAGUUCCUCAGAGUAUUCUAUACCUCGAAGCAAAUCGUUACAAGCGCUUAAAGAUGCUUUAGAUCGAGCAACUGACAUUGUACGAUCAGUAACACCAAACACAGAAGAUUCAACAGAUUCCGAACAUUUUUCACCAGAAAAGACAUUUAGUCAUUCAGACCUUGCAUUGCACAAUACAGAUCUUAACGAGUCGAUAUUUGAAUAUUUAAACCAAUUAAAAUCUGGUAAUAAUGCAAUAGAUGAAGAAAUCAAAAGCAUCGAAAGAUCAACAGACACUGACAAAACCUAUUCAAUUGUCAACGAUGCGAAACGUGAAAAUGUUGAACAUGAAAAAAUGAGAACAAAUGAAAGUAAAUUUCAAUCAAAGUCUACUGCGCGUAGAAAAUAUACAUAUGUAUUGGUUGAUCCUGUAUAUAAUAACCCUUACGAAUCCAUCGUAGAAAACUCACUUUAUAAUUAUCCAACAACAAACUCAAGGACAAGUCCGGGAACAAACAUUUCCGAAAUGUCAGACAAAGUAGAACUUUCAAGUCAGAUGAUAGGUGAGAGUACUUUCAAUGCGGGUCUUCCAGUGGGAAAUGAAAAAUGUCAAAAAUCAGAAAAUGAGAAAAAUCAAGCAAAAGAAAAAAAUGGUGCGCCGAAUGUUACUUUGAUGCUUCUUGGUGAUAAAUCACGAGAUAAGGGAUGCAGAUCUUGCCGGCAUAAAAAUAUUUUAGCGAGGAGACGAUCGUUACCUGCCGCUUUGGGGCAUUUGAAACCAUUUGGUACUAACCUCUCACUUGGAAAGCUGCCCAUCCGCAGAGUGAUGUCAGAAUACUAAUAUUGUCGCUCUAUUGGUGUCAAAGUGGAAGAAAAAAAAAUGAUGCACUGAUUAAUCGAGUUAGAACUGCCAGACAGCACAGUGGAAGAUUUAUACAUUGACGAUGAAUUUGAUGA